GAAAUAAAGGUGUCAAUUUCCUG
rnacentral:piRNA from 1 species